UCCCUGGUAGCUCAGCUGGUAAAGAACCUGCCUGCAAUGCAGGAGACCCUGGUUCCUUUCCUGGGUCAGGGAG
rfam:TPA: Bos taurus chromosome 24, whole genome shotgun sequence.